rnacentral:rRNA from 1 species
GACGAACGCUGCGGCGUGCUUAACACAUGCAAGUCGAGCGAUGAAGUUUCUUCGGAAAUGGAUUAGCGGCGAACGGGUGAGGAACACGUGAAGAAUCUGCCCUCCACUUUGGGAUAACACCGGGAAACCGGUGCUAAUACCGAAUAUUGAAACAUAAGUGGCAUCACUGAGUUUUGAAAGAAUUUCGGUGGAGGAUGACUUCGCGGCCUAUCAGCUAGUUGGUGAGGUAAUGGCUCACCAAGGCAACGACGGGUAGCCGGCCUGAGAGGGCGACCGGCCACACUGGUACUGGGACAGGGCCCAGACUCCUACGGGGAGGAGCAGUGGGGAAUAUUGGGCAAUGGAGGAAACUCUGACCCAGCGACGCCGCGUGCGGGAUGAAGGCCUUAGGGUUGUAAACCGCUUUCAGUAGGGAAGAAGCGAAAGUGACGGUACCUACAAAAUAAGCACCGGCUAACUAUGUGCCAGCCGCCGCAGUAA